AGCUGCAGAAGAAGCACCGGCUAACUCCGUGCCAGCAGCCGCGGUAAUACGGAGGUGCGAGCGUUAAUCGGAAUUACUGGGCGUAAAGCGCAUGCAGGUGGUUUGUUAAGUCAGAUGUGAAAGCCCGGGGCUCAACCUCGGAAUUGCAUUUGAAACUGGCAAACUAGAGUACUGUAGAGGGGGUAGAAUUUCAGGUGUAGCGGUGAAAUGCGUAGAGAUCUGAAGGAAUACCGGUGGCGAAGGCGGCCCCCUGGACAGAUACUGACACUCAGAUGCGAAAGCGUGGGGAGCAAACAGGAUUAGAUACCCUGGUAG
rnacentral:rRNA from 1 species